ensembl:lncRNA
GGGCAUCACACGCGCACUAUAAAGUCAAAGCGCAGGGCACAGCACCCUGACACACAGCGCAGAGCGGCAGAGAGGAGGCGACAAAACAGCAGCAGCAGGCGGAGGAGGAGAUCGCAGUCUGGCGAUGUGACGGGUCGUCAGCUGUACCAAGUGUUACCGGUGUUUUCUUGGAUUGUGUCUGACUGAAUGUUUGAGCAAGUGUCUGGGAGAGAACACAGUGCAUGCAGUGGUAGAGGGGGACGUGGAUAUUGAAGUGCUUCCUCAUCGCCACGAUUACCAUGUCAGACCAGAACCAGCAGCUUUGGAUACAGCAUGUGAAAUAAUAGAGGCUCAGCGGCUGUGGAUAGAAGAGCUGAGAAAGAGACUGAAGGAGGUCUCAUUGAAGCAGUCAUUUGGGUUGGAGAGGUUUUCGGCAUUGGAUGAAGACAUCAGAUUCUAUACCAGGACUUGUCUCCCCUGCUCCAGUCC